UUGAUGAGUUUCUCGUAUCUGGAUAUUCAGAACACUCCAGAAAUCUACCACGUGAAUCUGAUACGUGUGAUAAAUCCUUUGGCACUUACAAACCUGAAGAAUAGAAAGAAUCAUUAUUGCCUUUCUCAUACCAAACCAUUCUGUUACUGUGAUUAAGGCGUUUUCUGCAUCCCGUGCAAAAUUGAGACGGUCUUCUUACACACAUUUUUCUAUUUUCAGGAAAUUCGGCAUUAGUGAAAUGGACCGUUGGAGACACAAACUGGCAUUAGUAGCCGGGGCAAGUGGUGGCAUUUGUACCGCUGUAGUAAAAGACCUGUUGGACCAAGGCAUCUUGUUGUAGGAAUGGCACGUCGAAAAGAAGAGAUAGAACAGCUGUCCUCAUCCAAAAACUUGUACGCUUUAAAAUUUGACGUGACCGUAGACCAUGAGGUUAUAGAUGCGUUAAAGUGGGUCCAAGAGAGUGUGGUGUGGGACCCAUUCAUAUAUUGGUCAAUAGUGUUGGUACGUUUUGGUUUGGAAGAAUAUUGGACAGUUCGCCGAGUACGUCAAUGGCCAUAUUAUACAUGUGAAGAGAAUAAGUGGGCAUGGUGCAUUCCUUUCAUGCGUCGUUGGGAGCAUCCCGAGCGCCAAAAGUGCAGUGACAUCGGCAAUGUAAUGCUUAAGAAGAGAGUUAAUCGACAUUGGAAGUAAAAUAGAGAUAUCAAGUGUAAGUCCAAGCUUUGUCAAAACGAAGAUUUACUACCAACAUGCUGACGAACAACCUGAAUUCAGAGAUCUCGCCAAUGCAUGCGAUCAAGAAAAACAUUCGCUUCAACAUGUGGAUGUAGCUGAAUGCACUUUCGACUCCUUCUCACGUGCAGGUGGAAGAAACUACGUUCGAACCCCAAAAAUGUGUAUUUGC